AAUCAACGCUGGCGGCGUGCCUCAGACAUGCAAGUCGAACGCGAAAGUCCCCUUCGGGGGACAAGUAGAGUGGCGCACGGGUGAGUAACACGUAGGUAAUCCACCUUCGGAUGGGGAAGUAACAACCGGAAACGGUUGCUAAUACCGCAUAAUGCAGCGGCACCUAAUGGUGACGAGUUGUUAAAGCGGGGAUCGAAAGACCUCGCGUCUGAAGAGGAGCCUGCGGCGGAUUAGCAGUUGGUAAGGUAACGGCUUACCAAGGCGACGAUCCGUAGCCGGCCUGAGAGGGCGGUCGGCCACACUGACACUGACAUACGGGUCAGACUCCUACGGGAGGCAGCAGUCGGGAAUUUGGGCAAUGGGCGAAAGCCUGACCCAGCAACGCCGCGU
rnacentral:rRNA from 1 species